UUUGUUUGCUUGUUUGUGAUAAA
rnacentral:snRNA from 1 species